rnacentral:lncRNA from 1 species
CCCCAGUCAGGUGGUGCAACCGCCAGACCCCGAAAUUCCGGGAGAUGACAGUUUUGAGCUCGAAAUUCAAAUUGGGUUGGGGCCUAUAAAUACCCCACCCUUUCAGCAAUGAAAGGGCAACCCAAAAGGCACCGAAAGCUUGAUCUUUCUCUAUGAUUUUAGAGCUCAAAAGUGUUGUAAAGUCUAGAAGUUCUCCUCCCUCUUUUCUUCCAAGUUUUGAUCUUUCAAGAGAGGAGAGAAAAGUUUGUAAGGAUUGUCUGUCACGCCCUUCAAAAUAUCCAUGAUAUUAAAAAUUUUCAUCGCAAAUCCAUCCAGGAUCCAAACACAAUUUGAGGACACUGAAAAAUAUUCUAUCAAAUUCACAACUAUAAAACCUGUGCAGUUUAUAAUCAUAUAUCACAUAACUCGAUAAUUCACAUUUAUGGCCACCCAAGCCAACUUGACAAACAUGAACAACAUUUAUAAAUCCACAAGCUAAAUAAAUUAUACAAUCAGAACUCUAACUAUUCACCACAAGUUCAUAUCAUCAUAAAUUAGACUUAACAUUCCGAAAUUUCAAAUAAGAGAGAUCGUCUAACACUUUUACAAGAUAUAUCCAUUUCGAUUAAUCGACAACAUUUCAUUAGAUACAAAAUAUACUUAUACAACAAUAACAUAAUAACUAACAAGACUUGCCCAUAAUUCUGAAUAGCUCUCCACUACCUUAGCCCAAUUCAAACAUCUCAAAGAGUGACAAGCUGACCUGAAAGAUUUUAUAUAACGGAGUGAGCUAAAAACAGCUCAGCAAGUGACAAAGCAUAUUCAGAACAAAAGGAAUGAUUUUAAACAAGAUAUCAUAAUGUAAGUCAGAAUAUAAGAAUUUUCAAGAUACCAUAUCAUUAGAUACAAAAUCAUAUGUGUCAUGUCAUUCAAAACCUAUUUGGUUCAUAACAAAUGGAGCAUAGAGUAAUUGGAGCAUAUCAAUAGCGUAUGAAAUGUUCCGGAGCAUAUCAAUUACAUAUGGAACAUUUCGAAGUAUAACAAUAGCAAAUGAAACAUUUCGGAGCAUAUCAAAAGCGUAUGAAAUGUUUCGGAGCAUAUCAAUAAUAAAUGAAACAUUUCAGAACAUAUCAAUGGCGUAUGGACCAUUUCGGAACAUUUCAAAAAACGAAUACGAAAUAGAAGCUCAAACGUCGAAUCGAAGUUGCAUUCAUUUCAUUCUUAUCCAAAGCAUGUAUAGAAACACAUAACCAAAGCUCUGGAUAUCAUAUCAAACAUACAGAAGGUGAAGUGGGACCAUAACAUAAUAUGGUACAUCCAUUUUUGAAUUACCACCAAACAUAAGUCUCCCACGUCUGGGAGCUCCAUCCACCCACGUCUAAGUGAAGUCAUAGGGGCCGACAGAGCAUCACAGGCUCUAUGCAUAACUCCCUUCACCAUUUCUGGCAAAGGUUCACAAUAUCCCACAAACACCAGAGUAUAAAGGGACAGAAAGAACAAUAAAUAGCACAUAUCGGAAGCACAAGCGGAACAACAAAACGUACAUGUGCCUUUACGAGUCAAUACGAAGUAAGCAAUAAUCUUUCACAAUUGUAUUCAGAUUUGAAAGGAAAUGAAAGCAAGAGCAUUCAAGGAUUCCAAGCAAUCACAUAUAACUAAAUUCAAAUAAGAAGGUUAGAUAAAUUCAAUGUCCAAAGGAAUGAAACUGGAAUAGGCACAUAUCGAAAGCAAAUGUGGAACAAUGAGAUAUACAUAUGCCUAUAUGAGUCAAUACGAUAUAGCAUAAACGUUACACAAUAAUUUUCAAGAAUGCAAAUAACUUUAAGGACAACAGCAUACAAGAAUUCAAAGCAGCAAUAUAAAGCUCAAUUGAAUAAGAAAGUUAAAGGAUAUCAAUUUCCAAAGGAAUGAAACCAGAAUAUGCGAAAUCGAUCAAAGCUCGAUUUCUGGUAGAAUUCAAGAGGAACAUUGAACAAAUGAUUCAAACUAUCAAUUAUGCUCCAAUAUACUCAAGAAAGCUAUUGUGGAAAGAUAUUUCAAUCUAGUUUAUGAUGAAACAAGUUUCAUAUGAAUUGAACUGUCCAACAGAGAGAGUUACAAAUAAUUUGGUAAACAAGGGUCGCAGAACAAAAUCUCUGUUUGGCAGAAUUCAUAAGGUCAGAUUCAACAGAUAACUGGGCAGGUGUUUAGAUUCUAAAUCUUUCAAUCCAUAUAUCAAAAGAAAGAUCUACGAGUCUAGUUUCCAAUGAAAUCAGGUUUGAACAAAUCGGAGUUUCCAACAGACUUAUAGGCAACUCGGUAUCAAAAGGUCAAAAUCUCAGAAGUUGCACAGAUUCGAAUCGUUACGUCUAAACAAGAGAUAUAUCAAAUGCAAGGCUAGAACAAUUCAAAGUUCCUCAUAUUCAAAGCAAAUGUAGAGAUAAAAUUGUAGUAAGGAAAGAUCAGGACACUUGCAAUAGGAAAGAUUAGAAAGCUUGCAAUAGAAAGGAUCAGAACACUUGCAAUAGAAAGGAUCGAAACACUUGCACUAGGAAAAUCAUAAUACUUGCAAUAAGAAAAAUUAGAGCAAUUAUAGGAGAAACGANN